AUAUAUAUAUAUAUAUUCACAGAAUAGUAGAGUUGGAAGGGGCCAGAAGGCCAUCAGGUCCAAUCCCCAGCUUUUGCAGGACACUACAUUAUACCAUCACAUUCAUAUGACUGUCCAAAUGCUUUUUGAAUGUCUCCAGCGAGGGAG